rnacentral:lncRNA from 1 species
UCCACAGGCUUGGAGCCCAGAUACUUAAGCUGAUCUCAAGAGCACUCACUUUUAUAAGCAUUCUUUGGAGAACUUGGCUUGGAAAUGCAGCGUCCCCGGAAGUUAGAGCCACGAUUUAUAAUAAACUACCCACAGACAUUCAGAUGCCAUUAUGCUGCACUAUAAUAUACCAGGAAGACCUUUGAGGCCUUCUGGCAAGAAUCAUGGAGAAUUGCCAAUAACUGAAGGUGUGGACUACUUACAGAGACUUGGAGAGGCUUGCACACAGUGGUAAGGCAGCAAUCCUCUGUGUCUGCAGGGAGCUAUCACCAUUCCCUGGUUCUCUGAAUGAGACACUGAAUUAUAGACGUUCAUCACCCAGGACAUCAGAGCAGGGAAUUA